rnacentral:misc_RNA from 1 species
AUCUUAAAAGAGCCAGACUUCUGGACAGAGCCAGAAAAUGCCAUGAGGAGAGCAUAUCGCAUAACUGAUACUACUAUUUUGGACAAGGCAGCUGAUUUUGGUAAAGGGGGUUCGACUGCUGUCACAGCAAUAUUAAUCAACUGUCAGAUGCUGGUAGUAGCCAACGUUGGUGAUUCUCGAGCUGUGAUUUGCAAGAAUGGCGUUGCUAAACAACUGUCAGUUGAUCAUGAGCCA